AAGCCGGCGUUCAAACCCCUGCCGAGGCAGCAGAUCACUAGAGGGAGGGGAAGAUUUAGCACCCCUAAUAUUUCGCAUGGUAGGCUAUAUAUUCAGUUAAAUGGCAUACUAUGAGAAAUAUGCAUACAUACCCCCACGAUUCCACAGCGCUCACACAUAAUCAGCCCACAGGCAAGAGCGAGACAGCCCGCACAGCAAACAAUUCGCUCUAAAACAAUUAAGGGAGUAUUGUGAUUAGCCGCGAUGCACUAAGCGCACACAGCAGACGGUUACAUUGACAUGCAAGCAGACAACACACUUACCACACGGACCGGGAGCAACGUCGCGUGCAUAUACAGAACGCCGACCAGGCGACUCCACAGGUUUAGGGCCGUUAACAGCUAAACUGUUGCGCUACAGGCCAUAACAGCACUCGCAUCAACACUCGCAUCAGCACACCACAACGCCGACCACCGUCGCCAACAGUCGAGACGCCCAACCCAGAUGUGGCUGUGGACGUUGGUUGGCCUAAGCAUCAUCACAAGGGUGUGCGGUUAUGCAAGCGGUUACUUCCCGAAAGUAUGUCAUACAAUGUCACCUAUGCAUAAAAAUAGAGGGGAAGUUCUUGCUCCUCAGAACACUCAACCGCCCUUUGAGGUCCGUUACGAACAUGGUAAAAAGGGAGAACCUAUUACAGUUUUUCUCAAGAGCAAGUCAUCCACACAGUUCAGG